UGUAAGUAAGGGUAGAAAGGUCCCUACCGCACCUCUUACCCGCUGUAAGAGGUAUCUGAGAUGUUGGAUACACCGCCCAACUGCUUACA
rnacentral:ncRNA from 12 species